rnacentral:rRNA from 1 species
AUGCCGGCUGGCGUCAAGUUCGAUCCCACGGAUCAGGAGCUGAUCGAGCACCUCGAGGCCAAAGUCAGUGCUGACAGCGCGAUAUCUCACCCUCUCAUCGAUUUAUUCAUACCAACCAUCGACAGUGAGCACGGCAUAUGCUACACCCAACCUGAGAAACUUCCAGGUAUCACACAGAGUGGCCUAAGGAAGCAUAUCUUCCAGCGCAAUUCCAGGGCAUUCAAAAGGGGCACGUGGACGCGUUGCAAGAUACAGUCGGAGUGCGGCAUGCACACAAUGUGGCACAACACCGGCAAUCCCUUGCAGCAGAGGACCAACUGGGUGAUGCACCAGUACCACCUCGGGGACCUGGAGCAAGAGAAGGAGCGAGAGCUGGCUCUCUGCAAGAUUUUGUACCAGACAAACACUAGGGCCAGGAGUAAAAAGAUUAUAAGUUAG